rnacentral:lncRNA from 1 species
AGACAAGGGUACAAUUCAAGAUUAAUAUAGGCAACCUUCAUAGUUUAUUACGAUUUAUGCCUUGUAAAAGUAUGUGUAUAUAUACGCAAACAUAAAUCACACAAUGCAUGCAAUCCACCUUGUCUGGUUUCUGAGCUAUGCACACAUACAUAACCUUAGCAAAUUCCUGGUUGUCACGAACUAGGCAAGCAUAUACAGCAGAUUAUAUGAUACAAGAUGAAAGCAACCGCAACUAAAGUACAAGCAACUACAAAGACCGACUGCUAGAAGGAAACAAGCAACUACAAAGACCAAUUGAUAGAAGUUUCCUGAAGCUGAAACAUCCAUCUACAAAUACUUGGAGGCUCUAAUCAAAAUGCAAAGAGGGAGGAAAAACAAAGGAAAGAACAGAGGAAACUAGUGGCAUGUAGUCUGAACAUCCAUCCAACCAUCUAUCUGCAAUACAAGGAGGAGGUGGAUCCCAUGGCCGCCCAACCCAGCUCGUCGCCCCGCUGCCCAGUCGUGCUUGCCCGCAUGGCACGCCCACGCCCGUGGCUGGCCUCACCCGCGUCGCCGCCCAGCUGUGUGCCUCGCCCGUGCCGCCGCCCAACCGCGUACGCUCACCUAGCCGCCGCUGUCGCUCGCGCCCGUCCUUGGCUUCGCCGGGCAGCCGCCCAGCCGCGCUCCUCCACUUGGACGACGCCUUCGCCCGUGCUGACAGACACCCUCACCAGCGCCCGCUGCUGCCUUCGCCCUAGAUGGUGCACAGCCACUCUGGCCCGCGGUGGACAUCGCCCUCGCCCGCCGCGUGAGCUGUCUCGUCCGUGAUGCCGCCCAGCUGCGCUCGCCCACGUUGUUCGCCCCCUCCUGUGACGGGAGUCAAAGGCCGGAGGGUGGUGCAGUGGUGCCUUGCUCGCCGGAGGUGGAGACGAAUGGAGAGGGCGGUGGUGGCAUCAUGGUGGGGUGGGGGAGACAAGAGAUGGAUCCAGAUCAAGAUCGUGGAUGGCGUGCUGAUAGAGACGUGAAGUUGGGUAGGGAUGGAGAUGUGGGACGUGAGUGUGGUGGGUGCGGUAAAAUCAAUGGUGGCGAUGCUGCCAUGUCAUCGAUCCGUGAGGAAGGCCCCGUGGUGUUUUUUUUUGCCGUCAUCAUUUUAUUUUCCAGACGGCAAAAUAUAUGUUUUUUUUUACAAACGGCAAAAUAUGUCUUUGCCGUCAUCAAUUUUUUAUAGACGGCAAAAUUCCUAUAGUGGGGGCGGUCACACGUAAAGGUGGGCCGUGUGUGAUGUCGGAUGUACGUACUAGAUCUUGCCACAUCAUCGAUCCGUGAGAUCGAUCCGUGUGAUGUGUUUCUUUUUUGCCGUCAACAAUUUUUAUUACAGACGGCAAAAUGUGUCUUUGCCGUCAGCAUUAAUUUUUAUAGACGGCAAAAUGCGUCUUUGCCGUCAUCAGUUUUUUUUACAGUCGGCAAAAUAUAUCUUUACCGUCAACCGUUUUUAUUAUAGACGGCAAAAUAUAUCUACGUCGUCAGUCAUUCUUUGCCGUGAGCAGCUGACGGCAAAAGUGAUAUUUGCCGUCAUCCAUGAUGAAAAGCUGACGGCAAAGAUCUCCACAGAAGGCAAAUUAACUGAUUCCCGUAGUGAUAUGUGUGGUUACCUAAUGUUGUUCGGAGUCCUGGAUGAGAUCACGAACGUCACGAGGGUUUACGGAAUGGUUCGGAUUCGAAGAUUGAUAUAUAGGAUGGUUUUAUUUGGUCACCAAAAAGUUUCAGGCAUUACCGGCAGUGUACCGGGAGUGACGAAUGGGUUCCGGGUAUUCACCGGGAGGGGCCCACCCACCCGGGAGUGAGCCCAGUGACCCUAGGGUGGCGCACCAACCCUUAGUGGGCUGGUGAGGCCAGCCCAAUAGGGCCAUGGCGCCACAAGUGGAAAAACACCAAAGGAAAGAAAAAAAGGAAAGAGGGAGGUGGGAAGGAAGGAGUGGACUCCUUCCCCCAAACCGAAUUGGGGUGGGAGUCCACCUCCUCCCUUCGGCCGGCGCACCUUGGGGCUCCUUGAGCCUCAAGGCUAUCCCCUUCCCUCCUCCUAUAUAUACUGGUGGUUUUAGGGCUUUUGAGACACAACUUUUGCCACGUGCAACUCAAACCUAUUCCACGUAGUUUUACCUCUAGAUCGGAUUUCUACGGAGCUCGGGCGGAGCCCUACAGGAGUAGAUCAUCACCACCACCGAAGCGUCGUCACGCUGCCGGAGAACUCAUCUACUUCUCCGUCUCUCUUGCUGGAUCAAGAAGGUCGAGAUCGUCAUUGAGUUGUACCUGUGCUGAACGCGGAGGUGUCGUCCGUUCGGUGCUAGAUCGGAAUGGAUCGUGGGAUGACGAUGAUUUGAAUCAUGAAGUUGUACCACUACAUCAACCGCAUUUCUUAAACGCUUCCCGCUUAGCGGUCUACAAGGGUACGUAGAUCUAAUCUCCUCUCGUAGAUGGACAUCACCAUGAUAGGUCUUCGUGUGUGUAGGAAAUUUUUUGUUUCCCAUGCAACAUUCCCCAACAUAUCAGCCAUCGAAGUCCUCGGAUAACCAAGCUGGAAUAGCUUUGGAGAUCAAUGUGGCAUGCAGCUGGUAUCUCAAUACCAAAGUUGCGCCUCAUAUUGGUCCUAUCGUUCAUUAUGUCAGCGCUAGUGAAACGUAUGCCGCUGCGAAGGAAGUCCAUGAGUUCUGGACAUUGUUUGUCACUACUGCAACAUCAACAAAUUAAAAUGAAACAAAAUUUACAUACUGCUGCAACAAGGAAAAAUGUUUCAAUACAACUAAAGAGAAAUUUAUCUUAACGAUUCAAAUGGAACAUAUUGCUAUUCUAUGCAAUUUUCAUAUCCUAUGAAUUGAUCUUUAUAGGAUUCCAAUAUUCUAACAUAUUGCUAUCCGAUGCAAUUUUCAUAUCUGAUGAAUUGAUUAAGAAACCCUCAACUAACUAUCCAGUGGAACGUAUAAAGAAACUGCAUAUUGCUAUCCAAUGGAACCUAGAGAGAUGAGUAUAUGCAAUUUUCAUAAACUUUGGAUCAAACAAAGCCUCAAAACUUACCAAUGAAAAAUUGUUUCGCUACAACUAAAGAUAAAUUAAUCUUCAUAGGAUUCUAAUAUUGUAACAUAUUGCUAUCCUAUGCAAUUUUCAUAUCCUAUGAAUUGAUCAAGAAACCCUCAAUUAACUAUAUAUCCAAUGGAACAUAUAUAGAAACUGCAUAUUGCUAUCCAAUGGAACCUAGGGAGAUGAAUAUAUCCAAUUUUCAUAACCUUGGAUCAAAGAAAGCCUAUGUUUGUAAUAUAUCCAAUGCAACCUAGGGAGAUCAAUAUAUGCUAUCCAAUGGAACCUAGGGAGAUCAAUAUAUCCAAUGUUGUAACACAUAUUGCUAUCCUAUGCAAUUUUCAUAUUGCUAUCAAAUGGAACAUAUAAAGAAACUCCAUAUUGCUAUCAAAUGGAACCUAGAGAAGAUCAAUACAUUCAAUUUUCAUAACCUUGGAUCAAAGAAAGACACAAAACUUACCUCGCCCAUUGGAAGAUCAAGACAUGUUGUUUGAAACACAGCUGGAUGACGGCAACACCUUGAUGGUUGGGUGUGAACUCCAGAUCAAGCCCCAAGAACGCCUCAUGCUCCGGCGCGGCGUCAACCCACUCCCGGAACCGUGACAAAAAAUUUGGCACCACCCUGCUCUCGUUUGUGUACCCGACCGUGAGCUAGCUCGUGCCAUGUGCGAGCACCUCUCCAGUUAGAUAUGUCAUGGUGGAAGAAGAAUGGAAGAAGAGAGGAAGAAGAAGAACAGAGGAGAGGAGAAGAACAGAGAAUGGUGAUAGACUCUACUUCAGUUGCAGUUUUCAUCGCUGGAAACGAAGCAGGAGGGCGAACCGUUUGGACCAUUAGUCCUGGGUUGGACGACAAACCGACACUAAAGGGGUGAUUCGAAGGGCCGCCAUCCCGAUUUGAUCCACCAACCGGGACUAAAGGAGGAUACGAACGGUUGUACGAACGCCCGCCACCACACCUUAGUCCCGGUUUGAUCCACCAACCGGGACUAAAGGGGAUACGAACGGUUGCCGACCUAUUAGUCCCGGUUCUUGACUAGAACCGAGACAAAAGGGGUGAGACAAACCGGGACCAAUGUCCCACAAUGCCCGGGCGGCGCCCUGGCCUCACGAACUGGGACCAAUGUCACCAUAGGUCCCGGUUUGUAUGUGAACCGGGACUAAUAGGAUUUCAUGACCUGGACCAAAGCCCUCUUUUCUACUAGUGUGUAUGGAAUGAUGCUCUUCUUUUAUGGCAUCUCCAACCCUGGCCCACAAGCCAGACGCAUCCAUACAUGGACAGGGAGCCAGCCCGUGAAUAAAGAUGCGGGAGGCAGCCAUCCAAAGCUAUCCAUAUAGGUUUCAAAUAGGUUUUCACUAAUUGAGACAAAUUCCAUCAAACACGAUGGAAUUCAUCAAAGUUCGGAUAGAAAAUAACACAAAUCAUCCAUACAAAGCAAUAUAUCAUGCAACCGAGUCUAGUGCGACAAUAGUUCAAAUUUCACGAGACUGACUCGAUGUUUACCAAGUUUUUGACGGAUGGAUCAUGUUGUCCCACACAUACCCCCUCCCCUCCCUAAACUUCAUCCAACAAUGUGUAUGCAUGAAGGUCUGUCCCCUAUCCUGUGGUGCAUCACGGUAACACGUACAAGCUACACAACCUAUAGAGCAACAUUGAAUGAAUGAAUGAAUCAGUCAACAAGUUCACCAAGAAGAACCAAAACUUACUAUCUCCAUGGUAGCCGCGUGCAAUGGCCGCAUUCCCUCUAACCCAUCAAUCACGCCACAAAAUUUUGUGAUAAAGUUCUCGAUGGUGUACCAUUGAUACACUAAUGACUUCACAUUGUGUUCAAGAAUGACGUGCAUACCGUAGGUGCCUUCAUGCAUAAAAUUAACCAUGCACGCGCUGCCAAAAGAGCCUCCUUCUGCUCUUGCCUACGGAGUCUGUAGAUAUAGCCAAUCAUCAUCAAUCGUCGAGUACAUCGUCAUCGUUCUUACUUUAAAAGAACGACAUGAAGUUAGGAAACACGCUCAAUGAUAUUUGACUAAACACCUGAUAGGCGUGGUGUUCGCCAUGAAUGUCGUCAACACGAGGACGGAGGGUACCUAGCUAGGAAUGGAUCCUGGGUGGACGUCGCCAUAGUACAAGGCAAGCAGGCAUGUGGACGGCGGAUGCGGACAUCCGUCAAUGCAUGGAUGACAGCCGAAGAGGUCCAACGAUGGUGAUGGAGGACGCGGAUUGAAAGCAAGGGGAAGCAUGGGCGGAGAGGUAGAGAAUGAGAUCGAAAGGGAUACUUGAGUGGACCGGGGGUGUCGGAGUCCUACGUGACGACAGUCCAGACUCCCGCAACCCCUCUGCUGGUUUGCUUCCGGACCAGUCGGUAAAUCGAUAUAUGUCCGCGUUUCAUGACAAAAUACGUUCGAACCAUACGCCCCAUACAUGUUCAAAUAUGUUUAAAGAUGCCUUUGGCCCUGUACCGUUGCAUUGGCAUCGAAGCCAUACGAUCUCUGCUGUGACGUGACAUUGGAAUUGGCACGAAGCUCAGCUUCAGCACUAUUUGUUUCUUGGAAAAACAUGUAAUGAGAGAAGUGCCAAGAACGAGACAAUAACCGGUGACAGAGCGACGAUCAACAGGAUCACUCGCCCAAGUUGAGUCAGAAUAAGCAUGAAGCUGAAGUUGAUUAGAGCUUUCACAUAGUGGGCGCACCCUUCUGUUUCUGCUGCGUGGAUGGGCGCCACAUGCACCCACAAAAAGAACGGAGAAUCAAACGAGAGAACAGAGGUAGAGAAGCGGCAGGCCUUUGUGUUUGUGGCACCGUGCUCGCUCCAGCGUACACUGUCGUGUUUCCAGUAUGGCCAGCCGUUGGAAAGUCUUCUGUCGUUGCUUCCUCCGCGAGGAAGUCCUCUGUCGUCUGUUUCCGCCACAGUCUGAGCCACAGCUGCUUUCUUUUCUUUCCCUUCUCCCGCACCAGGGACACCAGCAGCGUAUUGGAUCAAAAGUACCAAAAUGCAACGCAGUGAUUCUAUGUUUUCGGGACCAUGCGCACUCAGCGGCGAGCCUCCGAUGCCCGCUGUUGUGUGACAUCGGCCCGUUUCCGGUCGGCGCGGACGGGCCUCGGGUCGUGAGGCCGUGGUGGCCGUGGUGUCCUGGCCUUUGGGUAGAGAGAAAACAGCUUUUGUAAGGUUUUCUGCUUCUCUGCAAGACUGAAACCAAAGGCAGUUCUGUUCGUCCAAAAAGGAAAUAGACCAACCUCUCUGCAAGACUGCACCACGCUUUCUUUUUGCUCUCACCAACUCGACUCAUGCGUUUGGAGGCAGAGAAAAGGGGACCGGGGACUUCCGGAGAGAAGAUGCGCGAGAAAAAGCAUUGGGUGGGUGAGAAUUAGAGCGCGAUUGCUUCUUGCGAUUUUAACUACGUGGAACAAUGAGGCAGAGCGCGAUUGUGUGACGAAUGUAUGCCAGACAAUGGUUAUUUACCCUAACCACUCUAACAUGGUUAUCCGUGGCAAUUUACUGACAUUUUUUAGUCAAUAAUCCUAGACCUACGGGCCCUUUACAGGGUCAUUACGGACCCUUCCUAAUUAAUCUCACCCUCCCUGAUUUUCCAUUGGGGUGGCCCGCCUCAUUCUCCUUUUCUCCAAUCAUCUGUUGCCAUGUCAUCAUGUAAACAAAAUCAGUCCGUAAUUGACUGUAUGUGUAGCAUUACUGUUUUUUAGUAUAUCAUAUCUUACUUGCGACCACCAUUUAUAAUGCCAGUUCAUAAUUUUUUGGCAUGGGGGGUGGAAAGCUUUCCGUGCUUGCUAUAUCUUAUCUUUAAAAUUCCCUCUUAUGCCUGUAAUAACUGAUUUGUAACAGGGAUAGACUAUAUAGACCCUUGUAAUGUUGAUGUGGUUGUUACUCUGUUCCUAUCGAGAGCUACCAUUGUUUGAUCGGGUUAUGCUUGCCUUGGCUUUUUAAUAAAAGUUGAGGCAGGGGAGAGACCCCUUUCAUUUAAAAAAGUUUAUUGAAAUAUGAUAUUGGCCACUAAUAAAAUAUUAAUCAAAUGUAGGAGAGGGGGAUAUGAAAGAUGAAAUUUGAGGUGAUGUGGGAAAUACUAUUUCUAAUUCUAAGGUGACUGAGAAAUAACUAUUUCUAUUUCAGCAUUUCUAUAUCACCACUAAAAACUAUAUUAUCUGAACAAGAUAUUCAUAGAAGUAUAUAAAAUGGUGGAGCAGGAGUAUCUUCGGGUUAAGAUUGCUAGAAUGGUGGAACUGGAGUUUCUUCAGGAUAAGAUUGCUAGAAUGGUGGAACGGAUUUUUUUCCACUAUGAUCUUAUACUAGAAGUGUUUGACGUAAUUUGCUGCGCGUUGGUGUUGCUGGGUUUUUAUUAGAAAAUUUACUCCCUUUGCAUCCAAAUAUGAGGUGUAUUACGUUUUUGAAAAGUCAAAGCACAUUAAAUUUGAUCAAAUUUGUGGAGAAAUAUAUCAGUAUCCGUAAUAUAAGAUUGGUAUCAAUAGAUUCAUCAUGAAACAAAAAUUCAAAUUUUAUUUAUUUAGUAGUGUGGAUGUCACUAUUUUUGGAUAUGAACUUGGUCAAAGUUAAAGAAAUUUGAAUUCUCAAAGAACAAUACACUUUAUUUCGGAAUCGAGGGAGUAUUUGGUUUCACGACUCUUAGAGAUGAUCGAGUGUGUCUUUAUUUUUAUUUAUAAUUCAGUCUGUUUGGGGCCUUUCGUGUCUCGAUUCUAUGUUAUCUGCUAAUCAGCCCAUACUUGCAUAGGAGAAAUUUUCUGCAUUGCUGUGUGCAUGUAAUGUAUUUGUGCUACAAUGUCACGUAUUGAUACUUCUUUUUUUUCUAAGUGUGAGAGGAUGAGCGAGGUUGAUAUGUUUUUAUAGGUCGUUUGCUGCCGACUAAUUUUAAAAAGUAUUGAUCCGGUCAAAAUCAUGAACGAAAUCCUGAAUCACACAAUUGAAUAGAAAAGCUCCGAAAUUAAGGAGCGUGCUAGAUUAAAACAAUUAAAUGAGAGCUCAUAUACCAUAUUUCAAUCCCGUGAAAUUGUCUAGCCAAAAGAUGAAUGUAUAUCUUGUGUUUAAUUUUUCUAAAUUAUAUCAAUUAAAUGAAAUGGUGUAUCAAUUCCACACAUUGCAUACAGUAAUAAAUAAACCAGCACAAUUAUUUCUAAUAUUCUACAUAUAACAAGCAUUUCUUCAUCCUAAAGUGAAAGAAUUUACCCUUCUAUCCAAAUCCAAUUUGUGCCAAUAAAAUAAAUCCAAUUUAUCGUUCUAUCCAGAUCAUGAAAUGAAAUCUCAAUUGGAUGAGAGAGCUCCAAAAUUAGUGAGCAUAGUGAAUUUACAUAGGAGCAUAGUGAAUUAAAAGAAUGAAUGAGAAUGUUUCAUGAUACAUUGUUGGCCCAGUCAAAAUCGGAUGAUCCAAUUUAAAAUUGGAGACCUCGAUUUAUUGUGAGGCAGAAAUUAGGGAGCAUAGUGCAUUUACUAGAAGGGUUGGGCAUGCUUUGUUGCGCUUUGGUGUUGUUGGGUUUCUUAAAAAAAAUAUUCGCACUGUUUCAAAAUAUAAGGCGUCUUAUUUUUUGGAGAGGCACUCUUAAGUUUGAUCAAAUUUUUAGAGUAAUAUAUUAAAAUUCAUAAUAUCAAAUUGGAUUCAUCAAGAAAUUAAUUUUCAUUUUUUUGUUGAAUAUUUUGGAUAUCGAUUUUUUUGGUGUGAACUUGAUCAAAGUUAAAAAAUUUGACUUCCCAAAAAAUAAUAACCUUUAUAUAUUGGAACAGGUGGAAUAUUUAGUUUCCCGGGUGGGGAGAUGAUGGAGUGUGUUAUAUUUUUAUUUAUAAUGUGGUGAUUUAAUGGGCCUUUUGUGAUGUGGUUCUAUAUUAUCCGCUAACCAACGUAUAUGUAGGGAUUGAUAUGUUUUUUACAGGCCGAUUGAUGUUGAUUGAUUUGAAAAAUCAUUUGGUCGAUCAAAAUUGUAAUCCAAAUCUAAAAUUGAAUAAAUCAAUUGAAUGAAAAAACUUCAAAAUGGGAACAUAUGGAGUUAAAUAAUUGAAUGCGAGAAUAGGUGAGAAAUUUUUGACCCGGUAAAAUCUGACCGAAUUCUAAAUUGAAGACCUCAAAGAAUUAGGAGGCCUUCAAAAUUUGGAAGCAUAGUGUACAGUAUAAAAGAAUUGAAUGAGAUAGAUUAUGAGAAAUUUUUGACCCGGUCAAAAUCGGUUGACCCAUUCCCAACUGGAUACUUCAAUUGAGUGUGACCCCUUUAAAACAAGGGAACUUAGUGUUAUGGAGGAUAGAUUAGAAGAUUGUAACCUUGUUAGUAUAGAAUAAAACUCCUUGAUUAUCUGUAAAAAAUGGAUUUAGAAAAACAAGAAUCAGUUUGAUGAAAAUACCUAGACCAUAUAGCUACACAUAAUGGCUUUGUAAUAAACUUUCAAAAUGAGAACUACCAUUACUCCUCAACAAAAAACAUGGGAAAUCGUUGGGUUUACACCCUAGUUUGAGACUAUAAAUGUUAAUUCAUGGUAAUUUAUGGCCAUUUUUUAGUAGAUCAAAUCUUACUUGCAAGUACCUAUUAUAAUGUCGAUUAAUAGUUUGGAUGCAAGUUUCAAUGCUAUAUAAAUGCUUACUUGUGUUGAUAUACAAUAAAAUAUUUAACAAAUAUAGGAGAGCGACAUAUGUAAGGUGAAAUUUUAGGUUAUGAGAGAAAUUAAUCUUUCUAGAGUGAAUGACAAAUAACUAAUUCUAUUUCUUAAUCACCACUAAUAACUGUUUGAUGUAAAAAGGAGAUGCCUACUAGUAUGGAAUGGAAUUGUAUAAAAAAGAACCAAAUUCUUGAAAAUACCUUGACUGUAUGACUACAAAUAUCAAAUUGGAAAUAUAAUAUUUUAAUUGAUUGAGCUACCAUUACUCUUGAAUAAAUGUAAGGGUUUAAUGUUUCAAAAUUAGGGAUAUUUCUUGAGUUGCUCUUUGCAAUACGUCAUGCACUAACUUUAGUUUUCUCAACAUUUUUUGGAACUGGAUUUGUGGCGUGUUAUCACCUCUUGCAAAAGCUUUCACAAAACCAUUAGUGCAAGUAGGUGAUUAACAAAAUGAUUAACGAACGAAACAAUAGUAGGAGAUGCACACACUAAUUUUGCACGUACUCAUAUAUUCGCUAUGUUGGUGUACGUUGAUUCGUAUGUUCAGAGGGAGUGGAAUCUUUAGGAAUUUUUCCAAUGUUGGUCAUUUGAUUCGUAGAUUUGACUCAUAUAUUUAUUUUGUACUCACUUUGUAAACUAAUAUAAGAGUGUUUAGAUUACUAAAGUAAUGUUCUAAAUUCUCUUAUAUUAGUUUACGGAGGGAGUACUACAUUGCUUAGGAAUUUCAACAGAAUCAAUUAUUUAUGUGAUGCAACCAAAUAAAUUGAAAUCGUACGCAAUCCAAAUGGAGAUGAAUUUGUAAUCCUAUGAUUUUCAAAUUCCAUGCUUUUAGAUUCCAUUUGUGUGUGUGACUGUUAAUCUAGCUACUUACCACUUGCUCACAUGACUUUGCGUCCGUCAUUGGUAACAUCAUCUCAGGUUAGCCCUGGGGCAAAAUUACGAGUGGACGGUACAAGUUCGCGCCCUCAAUUUGUACAGGAAGUUCUAGCGGCGGGUAGAAAUAUGAGCUCGCCACUAGUAUCUUUUUUGCCAAAUUUUUUGUAACAUUAGGUUUAUGGUGUUUAAUGUUUAGGGCUAUGGCUCAAUUGUUUUCACAUUAGAUAUACAUCAUUGGAAGUUCCAUGUAAAAAAUUUGGCACAUUUUAAGUUUAAUUUGUUAUUUCUAGGGUGUUUUAUGGGUCUCUAGGUAUUUAAUGGAGAUAAAUGCACUUAAUAACUUAGAUAUAGAUAGCAAACCCGAAAAAUGACAAUUUUUUAUGUGUCACAUGUAAUGGUGUACGUUGAGAGUGGAAAAUGAAUCAAGGCUAACCGAGAAAAGGCGGCCGCUUCACGUGCAUACAUGGUAUGUUCUUUCUUGAAAUCUAGUUUCUUACUCACAGAUAGUCCAAUUUGUAAAUUAUCUACAUGAAAACAUUUGAGAAACAUUUUCAUGUUUUUACCAUAAACUCUAGGGGUCAUAUCAUGACAUCAUGCAGUGUUUCAUGAUUUUCGUGCUUUGCUAGAUUUUUCGGAAUUAAUAUGACAGUAACCACCAUGUUGGUGCCUAAGUCUUAGACACAUGGUGUCCAGAACUCCUCUACAUUCCGUAAAUAAGACCACCAAUAAGAUUUGUAACCCUUUCCAUUGAUUUUUUUUGUAGACAAAAUUUGAAUCAUAUCUAUCAAAUGCUCGCAAAUGCAUUUAAGGGCUUAAAUAUAGCAAAUGGCCCCCAGAAAAUGCCGAAUUUUAACAUGAUACAUCUAGUUGUGUGUGUUGAGUGUGGAAAAAGAUUCACAACCACAGGCAAAGUGGUGAUCCUUGACACAUGCAAACAUGGCUCGUUCCGCUCAAAACCUAGUUUCCUUUUUAGAUGGUCUAGUUCAUAAGCAAUUUGCGUGAUAACUUUGGUAAAACAUUCUCCAAAUUUUCCCACAUGCUCUAUUGUACAUACCAUGACACGAAUAACAAUAAGUAUGAGGAUUUUUUAGGUUCGUUUAAUUAUCUAAGAUUUAAGAUGCCAAUAACCUACAUGUUAGUGGAGGAAUCUUGACACAUGGUCUAUUGGACAUGGCCCCUUUCUUGCCUGCAUUUUCUCGAAUGGUGGGGCGUGAGCCUCGUGGUAAUUUUUGGUUUACCAAUAAUAGAAAAAAAAUAGGUAAAAUUUUAUUUUUGCCCACUUUGCUUCUUUUUUGGCAGGCUUUUGCCCACUUUGAUUAUAUAUGCCACUGUAAAAUUGACAUUUCACUUUUGCCACUCUUAGAUUGCUCACAAUACAUCAUAAUUGUCAUUCCAUGGCAAAAACAAAAAAAUCGGAGUGAAAAUUAUGAUAUAUUGUAAAAAGUUGAGUGGCAUAAGUAAAAUGGUUUUUUUAUUUUGCCACGGAAUGGUAUUCGCGAUACAUUGUCAAAAGCUAAGAUUGGCAAAAGUGAGAUGUCAAAUUCAAGAGCGGCAUAAGAAAAGUGUGGAAAAGCUAGAGUGACAUAUUUUUUUCUCCAAAAAAAUGUAGAAGACACUACAAAAUACCCGCCACUGGUAACUAUUACUAGUGAUGGGUAUUGUGGCCUAUCCGCCAUUAUACUUGGGACGAGCCCGCAUUACCAAAAUAUUGUGUUCUAAUUGGUCGAUCUGAGCCUCUCACGGUUUACCCUAGUCUACUCCUCUUCCUUCUCCUUGCCAUCUCUUCUUCUCUUCUCAUUUCUUCCUCUUCUCUGCUCCUCCUUCUUCACCAAUGCCUACACCCUCGACCUCUGCCUUAUCGGUCAAGGGCUUCACGCUCUCGAGUAGGGAAGAACCCAUGUGUGUUGCGAGCGAUGGUGGUUGGCAGGAACAGAUCCGACACGCGAAAGGUGGAGGGAAGUGGGUCCUCCUAAAGCACUCCACGGAUCUCAAGCGCAUUGGGGUCCUCCUCCGCCAAUGGAUCCUCCUCGCAAUAGAUCAAGCUCAAGGGUGCAUCCACGGUCAGCAACUGUUGGAUUGGGCCGUGCACAGCACCAACAAUGACAUGGCUCCUUGUUAGUGUGUGUCUAAGGCUACUCCCAAUGUUCCACCUUGUACACGUGCUAAGGCUUCCACAUAGGCAAAAAAAUCUGAUGUGGCAAGCUAAUUAAUAGGAGAGAGAUGAGUAUGGUGACCCUAGGAAGAAACAAUGCUAAGCGCGUGAACCUAGAUAAAACAAUUAAAUGAAAGAAAUGCAACAAUGCAUGCACAACUUUGGUUGCAAAAGCAUUAAAUAAGGAGGCUUAGCUACAAUAAGCUAAGCACAUAUGCAUUGAGGACUUUAGUUGCAACACUAUUUAAUGUGCUUAGCACCUCAUCUUAGCACCAAUGCAUUAGAAGUGGCCUAAUGGCACUAAGCUCAUCAAUGCCAUUCAGUGCAAUGAUGAUGAGGCGUUGGUGCAACAUCUUCCCCUUGUGUUUUGGACAUUGUUGCCAGAAACAGUAAGUCACUGAUUUGUUUGCUAGUGCACACAAAGAGAAAAUAAUCCUUGGAGUAUCAAGAAGAUUUCUAUAACCUUUCGAGAAUUUUGUUGUAAACUUUGGUGAUUGUCUUCUACGAUGAAGAGAAGAUUAACAGUUUUCAAGGACUUCGAUUCCGAGAAGAUUGCGUGUACGAGAUAACCCCCAAAAAGGAUUGUUGACGUGAAGCAACUGGCACAUGAGGUAUCCGAGUUGAAAUGACUCCAGUCAUAAAGAGUGAAGAUGAACUCAAGGUGUAGCAUUUGUUUCAUCGUGUUAUUUUCUUGAGUCACAGGACCACCGUUCCGUUAAAAGGGGUAUAAGUAUUUUCAGACUUAUGUCUAUAGUGAUGCUUAGCCUUAACCUAUCUUAUGAGAGUUGAGAUAAAUCUCUUUGUGUUCUGAGACAUUUACUUGUCAGCGAGUGAUGAAGAUCUUCCUGGCUGCGGGAGAAAUGCUUCGAACCGAUGAGUCAACUUUACUUGUUCCUCAACUAAAGUUCCCAUGUGUGCUCAAAAUACCAUCGUUCGAAACGUGUUGGUUGGCCAUUUGCUAGAUUGCGUGUCCUAAAUGGUCAUUCCAUGUUGGGAACAAUGCGACUAUAUGUAGCCACCUCGCACAAACAUGAUUCAUUGGCGGCUCUGUUUGAGAUUUAGAGAAGAUUGAUUGAGCACACCUCUUUGAGAGAUACGAGUUUAAAAUCCAUUAAGAGAAAAUCAAGAGCCAAAACUUGGAUGGUGGAUGAUCAUCACAAUAGAUAUGAGUUGAGAGUUAUUGUGUGUAUUACUCUUGAGAGGUGCUAACUCUCUAGAUGGUUAGGUACAGGCUUGAGUGACAAAGGGUAAUUAUUUUCAUUAAGUCAAAGCCUUCAACAACCAAGAGUCAUUGUGGUUUGCCAAGCAAGUCCGUUUAAGGUUUGGAGAUCGCCGAGAAGAAUCUACCUCGAGUAAAGUUAACUGAACUCUCACUAGUAGGAAAAGGUCCAUUAGUCCCGAUUCUCCAAUCGAGACUAAACAAUCGUUACUAAAGCCCCAAACCUUUAGUCCCAGUUGGCAUACGAACCAGGCCUAACGGUGCUCCACGUGGCCACUUUGGGGCGCCACGGGGCGGGGACAUUUAGUCCCGGUUGGUGUCAUCAACCGGGACUAAAAGGCGGCCAUGCGUGAGCAGCUGCCAGACGUUGUGUUUUUCUUAAAGGGGGGGGGGGNNNNNNNNNNNNNNNNNNNNNNNNNNNNNNNNNNNNNNNNNNNNNNNNNNNNNNNNNNNNNNNNNNNNNNNNNNNNNNNNNNNNNNNNNNNNNNNNNNNNNNNNNNNNNNNNNNNNNNNNNNNGUUUUAUUAGGGGUUUCAUAUUGUGUUAGCUAGCUACUACAUAUAGAGAGAAGUGGACUCUCUUUCUCCAUGCUUGGUUGACGGUAGCUGCUACAUAUAUAGAGAACUCGACGCUAGCUAGUAAGCAAAUAAGGAACCAUUAAUUACACAACAUUGUCAUGAACAUAUAUAAAGAGAAGUGACCUCUCUUUCUCCGUGCUUGGUCAAACAACUCGAUGCUACUACAUAUAGUACACGAUCAUGCAAAUAUACAAUAUAUAACAUCUCGUGCUAUCCCUAACUAGCUAAUAUAUAUCUAUAGCUAGCAACAUCGAUAAGAAAAUCCUGAUGAUAUUCCCCUUCUCUGGGUAUGACAUGCUCAACAAAGAAUCCCGCCAAUUCCUUUUGAAUUGCUCGAAUGCGAUAAGUUGGUAGGAGUUCUUCCCGCUUGCGCUUGAUCUAAUUUAAAGAAGGGGGUCAACACACACACACAGAGACACACACACACACAUAUAACUCAACACAGUUGAUGGUUAUAAAAUAAAAAUAUGAAUAUUAUUUACGUACAUCAAGUUCUUUAAAAGAUAUGUCGUUCUUACAGGUCGUUUGGUGAAUUCACUUGCAAACAUAGUAUCCACAUAAAUUAGUUCCGGAUUCCUGCCUCAAGCAGUAAUUUACGAGAAUAGAGUUCAAACAAAAUAACAAUCAAGCAUGAUAAUGGUAUUGAAACUAUAAUGAAUGAGAGAUGCGCAGAACUAGCUAGUACUACUUACUUUGGAGAAGGAAAAUCACAGCUCCUUAUUCCAUUCACCUUUAGAGGUCUUGGUGAACUUUUUCCAAACCCUGCACGACAAAGAAAAUGAUUACUUGUUAUCAGGAAAUGAAAGAAAGUUGUCGAUAUGGUGCGAUAAUGAUUGAACUUACUUCUGGAGCAAGAGGGUCGGUUAUUUUUAAUUUUUUCUUCAAUUAAUUGUUUUCUUUUUCAACUAAAUUUAACCUCUCGGCAAGAAGAUCGAUUGGAAUUUUCGGUUCACAUACCUCCUAAAUAAAAACAUACAUGCCACGUUGGUCGACAUAAUUGUCAUAAACACUUAAUGAAACAAAUAGUUAUAAAAGGAAAUAUACCACGUCCUAAUCAUAGACCGGACGAGGACCGACGUGGGCGGAUACCAAAACCAUCACACUAUAUAAUAACAAACAAUAAUAAAAGCAAGAAAUCUAUAUAAGUAUCUAUCUAAAUCAUACAAGUAAGAUUUUGUUUCUUUUAGAAAGCAGAUAAGAACAAGAGGCUCACUACGUUGGUGUCGGCGACGAGAUCGGCGCGGGCGAUCGACGAGGGUGAGGACGGGGACGGGACGGUUAUUUCAUCGAACACCUCAUGUGCAUGCAUAGAACGGUGAACAGAGCAUGGCAUGCACAGCUCCCACACGGCCAAAAAACUGAAGAGAUGGAGGGCAGGGGUGAGGGUAUAUAUAUGCAUUUCUUUGGUCCCGGUUGGUGGCCACAACCGGGACAAAAGACUGACCUUUAGUCCCGGUUCCAACCACCAACCACGACUAAAGGUGUUGCGCGAGGAGCGGGGACCAUUGGUCCCGGUUCGUGUCUGGAACCGAGACUAAAGGGGUGAGAGGAACCGGGACCCUGGCCCGCCGGUGACAUGGCCUCACGAACCGAGACCGUUGCACCCAUUGGUCCUGGUUCGUAACAGAAUCGAGAUUAAAGUCUUAUCUCGCGUGGACCAAAGCUCUGAUUUCUACUAGUGUGUGAUUAACUUCACGUUCAGGAAAAUAGGACACGGAGAGGUUCACUCUUCUCUUCAAUCACAAGUGCCUUCAACCAGACCUAGCUCUUUUGGAGGAGAGUAAAUUGGUCAACCAAAUCAUUUGUCGCCGUUAAGUACCACCGGUUAUUUCUUAGUUUAAAUUUAUCUUCAAUAAUUCUUUCUCGACUGAGCUCUUUUUCCUGUAUUGUUCUUCGGUAUCAUUCAACUGUUUAUCCUUAAGGCAAUUCUAUUUGUGACUUCAUCAUGUUGUGCAUCAUAUUCAUGUUUGAUGUCAUUAAGGUUGUUUGUUUGUACGCUCGUCUGUUGUUCAUCUAGUGCUGCUUGGUUAUCCACCUAAGUCCGUGUCUACUGAACAUUUCGGCCAGUGAUGUGCAUGUUUUGUUUCAGUACUGCAUGUAUUGUUUCUCGUGUGCAAUCUCAUCAAUGCUGCUCAUCGUGUUUCCAUUUGUGUUCAUUAUCGUUGUUCUCAAAGUCAUGUGAUUUCAUUCUUGUAGGAUUGUUAUAUCUUUCGUUGAAGAUUUGGUUAAACUGUCUCACUCUGUCUAGUUUUUUUUUGUUCUCAGUCAUCACCGUUCCAGCUUAAGUUCAUGUUUUCCCUGUGUUGUACUGAGAGAUUUGAUGUUUCGAAAGAAAGUUUAAAUCUACCACUCACCCCUCUCCCUCUGAUCGAUAUUCUCUUGAUGCAGGCUAGGUCGGUUACGACAUGGACAUCCUCUUGAUGUGAACGAAAAAGUUUGUCUGAAUUUUUUUGUUGAAGACAAGCGAGCAAAGCUCAAAGAGGCCCGAAGAGUCUUGGUCAAGAAAGAGUCAAUAGGGGUCAUUGCAGUCUGCACUCUGCAGGGCAGGGAAGGAAAGCAGGAGACACCGCCGGCUAGCAGCAGCACCGACGCGCACCAUGCCUACCUCCUCCUCCGUCAACCCGGAACUUGGCGUCGUCACCGCAGCCAACCUCCUCCGCGCCCACGCCGCCGUGCCGUCGAGGGACACGGACGCCGCGGCCUUUGUCUCGUCCCUGCGCACCCAGGGCGAGGUCGAGGCGCUCUGCGAUAAGUACGGCGUACCCAAGGAGUUCACCGCGCGCCCCGCGGGCGACCUGCGCGCGAACUCGACGCCGCCGCCGGGGGCCAUCUGCGUGUACGCGCGCUCUCUGGAGGCCGGGAUGCGACUCCCGCUGCAGGGCUUCUUCAGCGACGUCCUCGCCCACUUCGGCAUCGCGCCGGCCCAGCUCACGCCCAACGGGUGGCGCGCCAUGGCGGGCUUCCUGGCGCUCUGCGACUACGCCGGCGUGCCGCCGUCGCUCGCGGUGUUCCGGCGUUUCUUUGUGAUGUGCAGUCUCUCCCAGGAGCACGAGAAAGGCUGGUACUUGUUCCGGCCCAGGCGGGACAGCUCCGGCUUGCGCUUCCGGGGGUUGCUGAAGCCGGAUUCCAAUCCCAUCAUGCGCUGGAAACACGAGUUCUUCUUCCUCUCGUCGCCGGAGCCGUGGCCUUGCGCUGUGGAGUGGCGCGUUCGGUCCAACCGCUCCUCCAACUACCCGGUGCUCACCGUUGAGGAAAGCCAGUCGAUGCUGAAACUGCUAAGUGCUCACGGUGGCGCCGCUGUUGAUCUCAGGAACCUGCUCCCUGCUACUUGCUCAAGGCCGCGCAGCAGCCGUCUCUGCAACAGCAACCUUGCUGCCGCAUCCCCGCUGCCGCCGCCGCCGCCCUCUUCAAUUCGUAUUACCUCAUGUUCCAAAAUCGAAAUCUCUCUGAUUCCCCUGUUUCAUCGAGCCCUUAGAUGCUGUUGCGUGCUCUGCUAUCUAGGUAUGGAUCUCUCCGUCCAUGACAUGAUGAAGACUGUGAUGGCGGAGAAGGCGGCCGCGCAAGCGUCGGCGUCGCCGAAGAAGAGGACUUGGGAGGAAGCCAACAGCGGGCAGGAGGUUCAGCCAGAGCAUUUCGCCAGCAGGUACGACAGAGAUACCACGAAGGCUGCACGGGAGCUGCUGGAGCUCGCGUCUGCGGCGAACGAGCCUUCGAACGAAGCAGCGACUCGGCAGGUACUGCCAGCAAAUGCCAUGGGAAAUCGUUUGAUUGGUAGGUGCGUGUCGGGAGAUCAUAUUGUUUGUGCUCACUGCUCAGGCUGCGAACUACGCGCUCGAGCUAGAGCAGAAGCUGGUGGCCAGGGAGGACGAGGCCGCGGCGCUGCGGGAGCAGCUGGAGGAGGCGAAGAACGAGCUCGCCGCGGCGAAGAGAACGGCGGAAGCGGAGCGUGAGAUGGCUAAGUCCGAGGUCGCCGCGGCGAGAACAGAGCUGGAGACGACCAAAGCCGAGCUCGCCGCGGCCAAGCGAACGGCGAAGGCGCAGGUGGCGAAGACGAAGGCCGAGCUCGCCGUAGCAAAGCAAGCGGCAGAGGCCGCGGUGGCGAAGACGAAGGCCGAGCUCGCCGCGGCAAAGCAAGCGACAGAGGCGACAGAGGCCGAGGCGGUGAAGACGAAGGCCGAACUCGCCGCGGCCUUGGCGGAGGCGGUGAAGACGAAGGCCGAACUCGCCGCCGCGAAGCGAGCCACGGAGACAGAGGNNNNNNNNNNNNNNNNNNNNNNNNNNNNNNNNNNNNNNNNNNNNNNNNNNNNNNNNNNNNNNNNNNNNNNNNNNNNNNNNNNNNNNNNNNNNNNNNNNNNNNNNNNNNNNNNNNNNNNNNNNNCGAGGCGAACCGCACCGUGGAGGAGGAGCUGGUGAAAGCCAAGGCCAAGCUGGCCGCGGCGGAGGCGGAGCUGGUCAGCGCCAAGUCGGCGGCGGCGGUGCAUGAGCUUCUGGCCUCCGAGGAGAACGUGCGGCGGCGCGCGGAGCUCGCGUUGGAGGGGUACGAGCGCUGGCGAGGCAGUCACGCUCCGGCUGGUCGUGCCGCCUGAGUAGCUCGAUGAUCGUCUUUACUCUUUUUUGGAAAUCACAUUGCUUGAUCAACUCUAUGCAGAACGAUUCUAUUGGGAUGUCACCAAAUUUUUUAGCUGUAGUGUCCUCAGAUCACAUAUACAACUCAGCAGCAACUGCUACGUGGUUUUGUUGUUAAGAGCUUCAACGGUCUUUAUAUAUUUGUAAUGACUUGCUAUUCUAUAAAUUUUGAUCAGAAAACCUCCUUUAUAUAAAUGGUCCUUCAUUAAUUUUUUUACAAAGUUUAAUAUAUUUGCACCCACACUUUGCAUAUUUAUCAAGCCAAAGGCCAUAUUAUAAAUUAUUAUCAAGCCUCCUAAAGCCUUACUUUGUCUCAAUCACUGAUGGGUACGUGUACUAGUAUGAGUGUUGCGUGUGUAUGCGCAUGUGUACGUGUAUGUGUUUUUUUGUCUACGUGUACGCAUGUGUGCUGCAUAUAUACGUGUAUGUGUGUGUGCAUGUAUACGUGAACGCGAGUUGUGCAAUGUGUCUAUGACAAAUUCUACCACAUCAACAUGUUUGUUAGUCUCAAGUACUCCCUUCGUCCCAAAAUAACUGUCUUAACUUUGUACUAGAUCUAAUACAAAGUUGAAUUAAGCUUCAAACAGUUAUUUUGGAACGGAGGGAAUACAUGAUAUUAACUUGUGUGUGUUCAGCACACAUUUACUCUCUCCGCUCUAAAAUACUCUCAAUGUACCUAAAUAGUUGUAGUUAGGAAUAACUAAUCUAUUUUUCCUCAACUACAAGUAUGUAGAAAUGAAAAGAGUAAGUUUUUUUUUUCACUACGAACUACAUACAAAUGUAUAUAAGUGUAAAUUCACUCAUUUUACAUCUAUGUGGUUACUAAUGAAAUCUUUACAAAAACUUAUAUUUAGAAAUUAAGGGAGUAUGAAGCUGCAAACAUCUUAGCACUUGUGUUUUGUUCUUGGAUCGAUAUAUUGGUUUCGCUAUCGGAUUGGUAAAUCUUAAUCGAGCAAGACUUCACCAAAUCUUGAUCCAUGCUAUAUUUAUGGCAUCUUAGAUGGACAUUCGUGCAAAACAUUCUUUUUUUUUCUUACAUGUUAUGUCACUUAAUUUAGACUUAGUUAAAUCGUCUCAGUCGACUGAGACAUCUAUAUCUUUUCUGCUAUAUAUAUUAGGCACCUUAAAUUUUUCUAUCUUUCAGUCAUAUCUACAAAAGUCAAUUCCUGUUAUUCAUUUGUUUGGACUGGAGUUUUCGAGGCCAAAAACGUUCACUUUUUUAGAACAAAGGUUCAAAGAGAGCUCAAUUCUGAGUAAACAAAGCCAUCCCCUUUUUUCACUUUAAAUUGGUCCAAAUAUGCAGAAUUUGGCCAUGAAUUACAUUGAUCCAAACCAAGAAAAACUGAAUAAAAAACUGAAAACGUCAGAUACGAGGCGCUGCCAAAUCAGCUUACAAGCACCUCAACAACAAGAAUAAGGAUAAACAAUUAAUAAACUCACUUGAUGUGGAAGAAGCCCUUCUACGUGCUUCAAUCACCGAGGACAUGACAGCAAGCACACUUCAAGACGAUACACAUCACACAACAGCGAUGGACGCAGGACACACCCUCAUCUUUGUUUGGUUAGGAGGAUUAGGAGGGAUUUCACUGAAUUUUCCUCACGUGGGCCACAAACCUCGCAAAACCCCGAGGGUUCGUUUGGUGUGGGGGUUUCCUCGGCCCAAUCCCUCUCUUACCCCUUUGUUCCCUCGCUUUUCACGCGCUUCAGAACCCUCGAGGGUGGCCUCGUGGAUUCGUCGCCCGACCCCUCCUCUACACGCUGCCAGCCACCACCGCCGUCAUCCGACUCCUCCCCGACACCCCGCCGCCCGACCCCUCGAUGCCGGCGAACUCCUCCGGCGACCCCAGCUGAAUUUUCCCCCGGUCGUAAGUCAUUCUCGCCCCUCCCCUCCUCCCCUCCUCCCCCUACAUGUUAGUCAGGGUAAGGUGCAUAAGACAUUGAUGAAGUCAAUAUGAGCUAUUCCCAUAGAAUGAAUUAACUUGUACUAAUUGCUUUGUGAGUUUGAUUAUGUUAGUAAUUAUGCAUUUCAAGUUCCACAUUCUCGUCAUGACUGUUCAAUGGACACUGCUUUGCAAAUUGAAUAUUAUUGUUUGAUUGAUUGGUUCUGUAAUGUGUUGUUCCUGGACCUACUUGUGCUGAGCUUACAGUUGAUCAACAUGAUGUCUGUUUGUUUGGUCGAUAUUCCUUUCAUUUGGUUAGUUGGUUAGAGGCAUGGUAACAUGUAGUGGUAUCUACCGAAAGAACUUCAGAAUUUUUAUCAGGUUGUCCUAACUCGAGCUUCCGGUUCGUGCAGAUGCACAAGCCAGUGACUGCUGAAGACAUGGCUAACAUGUCAGCCAGGCAGAAUCAGAACAGUUGACCAAGAUUCAUUACAUAGUGAAUCUGUUAUUUAGUUCCAGCAGGUGCAUCAUCCCAAGAACCAUUCUAACAAGCAAUCUACUACUCCAAUGAACUUGGAAUGUCGGAAUUGUAACAGUAGUCAUUAGUGUUGGAGAGUGUUUGCCGCCCUGUUGUUCUUGAAGAGGUAAGUCCUGCACUAAACGUACUAGUAUUGAUUUUCAGAACUCAUGUGCUCUUUCCUGUUUUACACACCAGCUCGUGUCAGGCUAUCGAUACAUGUAAUGUUGUGAAUUAGUUACCAGUGAUAACUUUUUAGUUGUCAUGUCUUAAUAUGAUGUUGGAAAAAUUACAUUUGUUUUAAUAUGAUGUGGAAAAUUAUCCCCUGUAGCAGUUCAAAUUUUUAUUUGGAGACCUUUAUAAUUUUGUAGCAAACUCUUCUUGAUAAAAGAUUACAUUUUUAGAUGUUUCACAAUAUUGCAUUCCCUACCUACCAAACGUUUGAUUCCUAUAGAGAGGAUUGUGAUUGGAGGGGUUUGAGGGGUUUCAAGUGGAUUUGAGGGGAUUGGGUGGAAGAGGGGGAUUCACCAAAUCCCCUCAAAUCCCCUCCCCUCAAAACCCCCUCAACCCCUUCCUACCAAACGAGGCCUUAAGGGGAAAGGGGCCUAUGUGACUAGGGUUGAGUCGUCGCCCGCGUCACCCUGAGCGGAGCCAAAGCGGGGGCCUUUCUCUGAGUAGUAUAUGUUCUCCAAUCGUCUACUUUAUUGAUCAAUAACAAGGUACAUAAUGAUACAUUGAAUAUCAGGAGGCUGGUUAAGCCAAAUAUGUCUACUACUAGCAAGAGUAAGAGCAAACUUGGUGAAGCUAUGUGCCUCUAUAUUUGACUCACAUCCCUAAAAGAUGAAGGAGCACGACUUGAACUCCCUUUCAGUUAUCAGAAUUCCUCGAAUAAUGCUUGCAUGUUCCCCUUCAACAGCUUGAUUGAUGUCUUGAACAACUUCUUUGUAGUCAAAUGCAAUAGUUAUAUUACUCAAAUCCUUUGCUAGAGCGAAAGCAAAGCUUUGAGGGUAGCACGUUCAGUCACAUUUGACAAUUGAUGGUUGGUGCUCCAGGAUAUGUACCUUCCGAGUCCCUGGAAACAACACUAAAAGAGGCAACAUUCGAGGAUAUAGAUUUCGCCCAUCCACCCUGAGUUUUGCAUGACCCGUAGCUGGCAGAGAUCAACGUGUCCUCCUCGGUGGAAUGUUUUCCCUUCAUGGGAUCGAAGGUCUCCUUGGUUUUGCAGCUUCUAAUUCUUAUAGAUAUCACAUAAUGAACUUGUGUGUCGUAUCAUGACUUUGAAAAACAUGUUCAUGUAUGGCCUUCGUUCGCAUGUGCCAUACCGCCCAUGGUGUUACAAGAAAUGUCAUUAAUCUUUAUGAGGCAUCGACUCCAUCAGCGUGAAUAUCCAGCGUUUUGCUUCGCAUGUGCCAUACAAACCAUAGUACCGCUAAUUGGGGAUGGUAGUACCGUUCCGGUGGCACUACCGCUCUAGUACAUGUGUACUCACAGCCAACGGCUGAGACUACCGCACUAAGCAGAAGUAUCGCUCCUUCGAGCGGGAGUACCUAAGGAUUAUUGGGGAGCAUUGUGCCUCCACAUCGCUCUAACGAUACCGCCUUGAAGGACACCACUACUGGGAUCACGACAUCUUGCGUUUUACGAGGGCGUGAGGAUAAUACAAUGGCCCUAAGACUUAUUGGGGAGCAUUGUGCCUCAACAUCGCUCUAACGAUACCGCCUUUAAGGGCAUCACUACUAGGAUCGCGACAUCUUGCGUUUUGCGAGGCGUCAGGAUAAUACAAUGGCCCUAAGGCUUAUUGGGGGAGCAUUGUGCCUCCACAUCGCUCUAACGAUACCCUCCUAAAGCAAGGGAACUUCGACUCAACUUAUGGUUACUUGUAACCUUUACUUUCUACUUACUCGUGUUGUUGUUAUUAUGCUCAUAAUAUAGGUUGUCCACCUAGUUGUAUAUCUAGACAACAUAUUUUGUUGUUAAAUCUAAUUUAUUAAAAGAAGUUAGAAAUUAAUAGUUUCCUAUUCACCCCUCAUCCUCUAGUCAACCAUAUCGAUCCUUUCACCAUCACUAUUGCAAAAAGGCAUUGCAUUUCGCAAGCAUGCAUGCCCCAUGUCAAUGCACUUGCUCAUGCAUUGUAUAUAUGUAGCUAGGGGUGUGUUAGUUAAUAAUGAAUUAGUGGUUUUCUUUAUUAACCUUUAAUAAAUAAGAACAUAAAAAUAAAAAAUCACACAUUUUACUUAGAAAUUAUGGGUUCUUAAUAUGCAAGAACAUGCAUAUAAUAGUGGGGUUUUUUUUCAAAAAAGGGAAGAUUCUAAGAAGGAAUAAAUUAGUAGCAUUAGUGUUACCAUUAAAGAAAACUAAAACUAAACCAAACUCAAAAUAAUGAAGUUUCCAUAAAAAAGAAUGAAUUAGUGGCUUUGGUACUACUCUUUAAGGAAAACCUUAAAAAUAAUAAUGGAGUUUUGUCUAAGAAAGAAGGAACUUGUUCCUUCGUUUUACCCUUAAAAAGAAAUAAAAAUAAAAUAAAAACUAAAACAAAAUCACAAUAGUGAAGCUAAAAAGAAUGAAUUAUUGGUAUUGAUAUUAGCCAUAAUGAAGUAAAAUAAAAAAUAACCAAAAUAAAAAAUAAUGAAAUUUUAUAUGAAACAGUGAAUUGGUGGCAUUGGUAUUACCCAUUAAUAAGAAAUAAAUAAAUUGCACACCACUUUGCACUGAAAUUGCAUUUUUGCGAAAUGUAGAGAAAAUCACAUAUAGUUAAAAGGGAAAAAGAGAAAAGGAAAACAAAUAAAAAAUGAACAAGAACAAAUGAAGAGAGGAGAGAGCUGACUCGCACAAGUAAUGUGCUUCAACCCAUGAAGGAAUUGAUUGACCCAAAUAUAAGGUCUACUAAAACAGAAAAAACAACUCACAAAAUAAAACAUUAAAAAAGGAGCACGAAACUUAAAUCAAAAAAUCACAACCAAAUCCAAAAAUCAAUUUUUAGGCGAGUUACAUAUAACAAAAGUGAUGCCAAAAUUACACAUGCAAGAAACGACUAAAACUAUAAAGAAAAACAAAAGCAAAAAACACAUACGAACAGAAAAGCAUGCAUUGUGUAACACGCUUCACGACCAAUAGGAAAAUAGACAUACCCCGANNNNNNNNNNNNNNNNNNNNNNNNNNNNNNNNNNNNNNNNNNNNNNNNNNNNNNNNNNNNNNNNNNNNNNNNNNNNNNNNNNNNNNNNNNNNNNNNNNNNGAGCGUGAGCGGCGCGGGUACGAACACGGCCUGGAGGACAUGAAGCGCGCCGCGCUUAGCCGCUACCCGUACCUCGACCCGGCGCGGCUCGUCGUGCCGCUCUGACUCUGAUCGCCAUGCAUGCCCGAUCUGCUAAGCUCUCGCUUGAGACGUCUGUCAUAUAUAGCGUUCCUCAUCUGCAUUUCACGCUUUUUGUUGGAUUGGAUCUCCAUAUAAAUUACUCCCUAGGUUCCUAAAUAUAAGUCUUUUUUUUAGAGAUUUCACUAGAGGCUACAUACGAAGCAAAAUGAAUGAAUCUAUAUUUUAAAGUAUGUUUAUAUACAUCCGUAUGUAAACCUUUUAAUGAAACCUCUUAAAAGACUUAUAUUUAAAACGGAUGGAGUAUUAGGACCUGUGUUCUAGACCUACUUUGCCAAGUUUUUCGUUGGAUUAUACUACCAGUAUUAUCUAAUUUUAACCAAAUUUUGUAAGGAUUCUCAAGCCCAAAUUUUUCUCCCAGUAAGGACCAAUUUGUUUUGUGAGAGUACUACAUACUGGAAAUUAAUGUGGAAGGACGCCAUUCAAUACUAUUACUAUCAUGUAUUAUACUCCCUUCGUCUCAAUUUUUUUUGUCUUAGGUUUGUUCAGAAAUGGAUAUAACUAUAACAUGACUAGAUACAUUUAUAUUUAGAUAAAUCUAAGACAAGAAUUUUAAAACGAAAAGAUUAUAUAUGUAGUUAUUAAAGGGCAAAAUUUUAAAUUCAAAUUAAGUCUGAACCACACAGCACAGGGAUCACAUCAACGUUGGAUUGCAUGCCCAUGUACGAUCACAACCGAAAGAAGGCAAGUAUGCUUAGUCUUUACGAGGGCAGUACUACACGUCGGCGCGAAUGCUUGCGCCGGUAGCAGCGUGAUCAUCAGAUCUGCGGGACGUACCGUUACAUCUAUUCAUGCAAUAUCUUUUUCUUGAUGCAGCAAAUUUCGGCACGAUGCAGCAAUUUUUGUCAACGGUUGCAACAAAAAAAUAAUUGUAGCAAAAAAAAAAAUCUACGCGAUUGUAACAAAAAACGAAAUUGAUGAUGCGUGGUAGUAAAAGUCAAACGCCUGUUGUAGCAGAUAUCUACGUGAACGUGUAUGCAACUUUUUUAGUGAACGGUUGCAACAAAAAAUGAUGCCGAUUGUAGCAAAAAUUAACACGGUUGUAGCAAAAGUCAAACGACGGUUGUAGCAAAAGUCAAACGACGGUUGUAGCAAAAAUCCAACAAACUCGAGUUGCAACCAAGCGUGGAUGUAGCUUUUUGAAUGCACAAAAUGUAGCAAAAUGACAAACGUUUGUAUCAAUUUUAUACAUGGUUGCAGCAAAUCUGAGCGAAAUAAAUGUUGCAUGGCUGCCUGCGAGGCGCGCGGGCCGCGAGCGACCGGCCGAAAGAUUCGGCAGGCGCUCCGGCUGCAAGCAUUUCCCUUUUUACAAUCCCCAAUCGAAAAUAACAUCACUGCAGUAGUCCGUACAAUUUUUGCCCUACCGAACAGGCAACUCCAAUUCUCCGCUCCCCGAUCAAGGUCUCGUCGUCGCCACCGUGAAGACCACAUCGGCGUCCAUCUCCUUGUCGUCCUCACUCUUCGCCGUUGCCAACUUAUUUUCCUGCCGCUGCAACAUUUGGUAGCGGACAAAUUGCAUGAUUAUUCUUGCGUCGACUCCAAGGAGUACAAAUUCAAGGUUAACUUCUUGCCUCCCUCGGCAUUGGCGGCGAUCUUCUUCUUCUUUCCCUAGAUCGUGGCCUUCCUGUCUUCGAUCAUGGUAUGCCGCUUUUUGAGCUUGAGCCUCUUGUUCGUCGUCUCCAUCAAUAAUUUGAACCUCUCCUCCUUUUCCUCCUCCUUGAGGUCCGACCGCUUGGCAGGCCUCGUCCUACUUCGCCAAGAUGUCCUUGAACCUCUUCGUGAGCUUGGUUGUUGCACCUUCUCGCUUCGCCCUCUCCUACCAUUCCCCCCCCCCCCCCCNNNNNNNNNNNNNNNNNNNNNNNNNNNNNNNNNNNNNNNNNNNNNNNNNNNNNNNNNNNNNNNNNNNNNNNNNNNNNNNNNNNNNNNNNNNNNNNNNNNNNNNNNNNNNNNNNNNNNNNNNNNNNNNNNNUUGGGUUGGUAGGGUCACCGGUUUCUUCAAGGUUGCUUGGGAGGCGCUCUUGGCUAUGAAAAUGUUUCACCUUUAUUGCCAUUCAACUUCAACCAACAAUGCAUGACGGUGAAGCUUUUCCUGUUGAACUUCUUGUACACCAAACAAGCACGAGAAGGCUACAGAACAAUUCAUUCCCGUCUAGUGAGCACCAAAACUAAUCAUAUCCGAUAGCGAGCAUCAAAUCAAUACAUGUACGGCUAGCCAGCAACAAAACUAGCAUAUCUAGCUAGUGAGCAACAAAUCUNNNNNNNNNNNNNNNNNNNNNNNNNNNNNNNNNNNNNNNNNNNNNNNNNNNNNNNNNNNNNNNNNNNNNNNNNNNNNNNNNNNNNNNNNNNNNNNNNNNNUUCCCGCAGGGCACGCCGCAGCGUUCUUCCCCCCGCCGGCUUCUGCCACGACCCGCGUACUCCCUCACCCACGUUCAACGCCGGCCUCAACACCCAGUAUAGCCACUCGUCAUCGACAUACUAGUUGGUAGCCUCGCCUGCACCAUCUCUGCGCCGUGGUGUUCUUCUAUUCGCGCCCACUUCGUCGGUGCAGUUUAAUAACUACACCAACGCCGACAUGGAUGAGAUCAUCAUGAGCAGCUAUGUCAUGCCGCGUCGCACCCGGAGUACGACGUGCAUGAUGAAACAAUGGACACCAUCGGCGACACUGACGACAAGCUCGACAACGUCGAAGAGGAGGAGGGAGAGGAAGAGCUGGCGGAGGUGGAACCAGAACCAAUGUCGAAGAAGAAGGGAGGGAAGAAAAGCGGGCGACGAACGCCAAGCCAGCCGAACCAUGCGUUAAGUGGAUGUCAAAGGAAGACGAGUGCCUUGCGGAAGCAUGGAAGACCGUCAGCAUCGACCCGAUCACCGGCGUGAAUCAGAACACCGCCACGUACUAGAGGAGAAUUAAAACGACAUUCGACAAACGCAAACUGGUCAACCCCGACUUCACCAACAUCCACAUAGACCACGGCGAGAAGGCCAUGUUGAACCACUGGUCGACGAUCCAGACAGCCUGCAACAAGUGGCAUGGGAUCGUCGAGGAGGUCGCUCCUCGCCCAGAAAGCAGCGCCAAUGUCGAGGGUCAGGUAUGGACAUUGUUCGACGGCCCUAGUUCGUCACGCCGUCGUGUACUUUGCCGACAUGUUUUGUCCGCGAUUGUGUAGAUGUUUCGGAUGUUCGCCAUGUAUCGUGCUGACAUCGAGGACCAAGAGUUCAAGUUCCUCCACGUGUUCUGUCCGCGGUUGUGCAGAUGUUUCAGAUGUUCUCCAUGAAUCGUAACGGAGAGAGUGGCCAUUUCCUUCUAUGGAAGGACUACUUUGACACAAACAAUCCACUCUUCAAACAUUAGAAAUUCCGGCGUCGUUUCCGUAUGGCUAGGCAUGUUUCAACCGGAUUCGAGAUGGGUGGUCGGAUAUGAUAACCACUUCAAGUGCAAAGAGGAUGACAUUGGAAGGAUUGGCUUCUCAUCUUAUCAAAAUGCACUGUUGCUAUCCGAAUGCUUGCUUAUGGAGUACCCGAUGAUCUUAUCGAUGAGUACGUCUGUAUGAGUGAGUCUACAUGCCUAGAGCCGUUAUACAGAUUCUGCAAGGCCGUGAUUGCAGUGUCUGGCCCUGAGUAUUUGAGAGAGCCAACUGCUGCACACACAGCCCGCUUGCUGGCGACCAAUGCGAGACGGGGCUUCCCAUGGAUGCUUGGCAGUGUAGACUCCAUGCAUUGGGUAUGGAAGAACCACCCUUUUGCUUGGCAAAGCCAGUACAAGGGCCAUGUCAAGGCUUGCACUGUCAUACUUGAGGUCGUGGCAUCUCAAGAUCUCUCGAUCUGACAUUCUUUCUUUGGCAGUGUCGGAUCGCACAAUGAUAUCAACGUGCUUCAUUGAUCGUCGGUGUUUCUAAGGCUUACCGAAGGCAACAGCCCGCCGGCCAAUGUUAACAUCAACGAUCCCAACUACAACAAAGGAUACUAUCUAGCUGACGGAAUCUAUCCACAGUGGACCACUAUUGUGAAGACAAUCUCCAACCCGAUCGGAGAGAAGAGAAAAAGAUUUGGUCAAGAGCAAGAGAGUGCUAGAAAGGAUGUCGAGCGUGCCUUUGGUGUUCUGCAAUCUUGAUGGGGCAUAGUUCGGUAUCCUGCUAGACCUUGGAGCACCUAGAAGUUGUGGGAAGUGAUGACUGCUUGUGUGGUCAUGCACAAUAUGAUCGUAGAGGAUGAGCGCUCGGAAUGUCUAGGCAAUCAAGGGUUUGAAUUUCAGGGUGACAAUGUGGUGCGUGAGCAUGGCGGAGAAGCGGUAUCGUUUGCACAGUUCACCCAACUUUAUCAUAAAAUGCGUGAUUUAAAAACUCAUAUUCAGUUGCAAGAUGAUUUGGUUGAGCAUAUGCGGGAUCAUGUUCACAAUUAAUAGGUGUAUUUUGUAGACAAAACAAUUUUUAUUGGACGUGUAAAACUUUGAUAUAUUUUAUUUUGAUUAUAAAAUUGUGCUAUAUCAUUUGUUGUUGCAAAAUAUGCAAAAUAUGCAAAAUAAUUAUAUUUGUUCAAAACCCGAUGGCUAGCCGGUCAGGCGGACAAAUAUGGAUCAGCGUGUUGGACACGCUGCCGACCCAAAUCAUAACCUGGACGGACAGGAGUCUGCUUUUCGUCCGUUUGGGUAGACCGGUAGGAGUUGCUCUAAUAUAUAUGGUCUAUUACGAUGUGUAGUUGAUUAUGAUUGUAUAUGUCUCCUUCUGUCUAGUACAUAAGCUUACUUAGUGUAGGCGGUACGUGGUGUGCUGGCGGUGAAGGGAGUUGUUGGUUGAGUCAUCAUGUUGUACAUCGCAGUGUUGGAGGAGAAAUGAUGACGUGCGAUACGCGUUCUUGUUCGGCCCAGGUGUGUCAUGUGCGUUUGUGCCGGACCUGAACGCACCGGCCCUCCUCGAAUUUCGGCGGGGGAGCUGCUACGGCGAGGGGAUCAGCUGCUGUUGAAGGAUGUUUGCGACCACACCAUGGAUGUGCGGGGUUGGCACGGUGACAUAGGGUUUGUACCACGUGACCACGCUUAUGUUAAAAGAGUGUAGUUUAAAAAAAAUGUUCCAAGUUUAAUAAGAAAUGUUCAAACAUUACAAAAAUGUCAUGUCUUUUAAAGGUGAAGAAACAUUUAUGCUUUCCCCAUGCAUCAUCAUUCAUGACUAAUUGCAGGCCCAUGAAAGGAAUUGCUUAACAAAAAGGCCCAGCAGAUAAAUCAGAAGAAAAAAAGUUAAAAAAAAAGGGAAUGGAGAUGCGGGGGAUCGAACCCCGUGCCUCCCGCAUGCAAAGCGGGCGCUCUACCAUUUGAGCUACAUCCCCAAUUAUGAUCUCGUUCAUAUAAGCCACUUAUUUGUCUUAAUCACCGUUAGGCAACCUCUCAAUCUCAAAUCUACUAUGGUGCGUACUCCGCUGGUGCCAUCGAGCAUGUAUCCCCUGAUUAAUAAUCCUAAUCUUAAUCGCAAUGCUCUGCUCUGCUCUGCUCUGGCGGUGCCAUGAAGUAUAGCAUGCCGACGAACGGACGGAUUUUGAAAAGAAUUCAAAACGGAGCAGCACACAACGCGCAGGAUGGAUGGAUGGAUGGUGCGUUGCGUGUGGUCUUUCGGUCAAGAGCAGGAGACCAGGCGGCGACGAGAAUGGGAAAAGAGCAGCACGGUGACGGAUGGAUGGGGCUGCCGUGUCAGGCUCAUGCUCAGACCGGAGGACGGAGGCCAGGGGGCGCGUGUCGGCCUCCCAUUGCGUCUCCCACCUGCAGACCCCCCCCUCCCCCUCCCUGCUUCUCUCCCUCUCUCUCUCUCUCAUUGCGUUCCAUUUCAUUUCGACCACUCCACUUCCACAACCCUCCCCUCCAUCCCACUCCCACCAGAGCACAGCACACCGAGCACACAUUUCAAUACUACGGCACUUGUAUGGUAUGGUAAUAUGGUUUUGCUGUUCUCGUCCAGAUCAUUGGACAGUAGACCAAUCCUCCGCCACUCUUGUAGGAUGUACUACGUACGGGAACCAACCCACCCCUGGCGUAGGCAGGUCAGAGCUUGCCCAGUACAGUAGUACCCAGGUGCAGAGACCAGAGAACAGACAGAAUGCUCAUUUCCAUUUCUGUGCAAAGUCCAUUGUCGUGGGUCGCCAAAGCAUGGACUGACCGGCAGCACCAACCGACCUGGACCGCGUGGGUCCUCCAGGCUACGUGUCGACCGCCCAGCCCCUGUGCACUGCUACUGUACCUUCUCUUUUAGGAAGACGGACUCUCUGAUUGUUGUCAUUGCUGCUCACAGACACACGCACACACACACUCAACAGGUCGGACAGCAAACCCUAGGCACAGUUUGUGCGAAAAUGCAUCUGAUUUUUGUUUGCGUCACUGGAAAUAUUUCCUAGGGAAACAUUUACUUUUAAUUUAAGCGCUGGCACCUAAAAUUCACUCUAGAAAAACACAACUCAAUCGGUUUUGUGCAAAAAAUAAAUAAAUAUUAUAUUCCUCCAUCCGAAAAAUACUUGUCCUAGAGAUGAAUGUAUCUAGACUUAUUUUAGUUAUAGAUACAUCAAUUAUAUUUAUUUUUGGGACAAGUAUUUUCGGACGGAGGGAGUAGUUCCUUUAUUUCUAAAUAUAAGUUUUUUAGGGAUUUCAUUACAGACUAAAAAUAUUUAUAUUUAAGAACAAAGAAAGUAUGUAUAAAAAACAAAUCACCUUUUUUGCUUCGUAUGUACUCUUUGAGUUCCUAAAUAUAAACUUUUUAGAUGUUUAUUAAAAAACUACAUACGAAUGUAUAUAGACAUACUUUAUGUGUAGAUUCAGUCAUUUUACUUCGUAUGUAGUUUCCUAAGGAAAUCUGUAGAAAUACUUAUAUUUACGAACAUAGUAGUCUGUAAUAAAAAAAUUAAGAAGACUUAUAUUUAAAAACGGAGGGAAUAGGCAUAAAAAGUAAACCAUCUUUUUUGCACGUGCACUUAGGUGAAAAACAAACAAAAGCCGAAAUUCUUUGACGUGAAGAAACUCAUCUAGAAUAGAAGGUGUGAAUGAAAGUGGAGCAACAUUGCAUCACAUUCAUGUUAAAAACUCUUAAUUAGAAUCCCUUCAGCAAGUUUGCUUGUGAAGAAAUUUGUCCCUGCAUAUUGUUUAUUAUUCAAUUCUCGUGAUCCAACAAAAUCACCAAGGCUUUUCCAAAAUUCAUUUACUUCUAAGGAUCACCCAUUAAGUGGUAGAUAAAUCGGGUCUAGUUCUCCCUCAAAGUACAUUAUGAAUACAUAUUCAUGAUGGAUAUAUUAAUAUUUAUUUGGUAUUGUAAAUGUUCAUAUAAUUUUUCUAAUCUUGGUCAAACUUAACAAAGUUUGGCAUAAGGCAAAACGUACGCGGCCUCAUCAUUUGGAAAGGAGGGAGCAAUUUAUAACAAAACUUCACACCUACUCCCUCCAUUCCUUAAUAUAAGUUUUUUUUAAGGUUUUAUUAGGAGACUACAUACGAAAUAUAUAUAGACAUGCUUUAGGUUAUAGAUUCACUUAUUUUGUUUCGUAUGUACUCCUCUAAUAAAAUCUUUAAAAAGAUUUAUAUUUAAGAACAGGGGAGUAUAUGCUUCUGCUCACAAGGUACAUGCAUGGAUUGUUAUUUUUACACUCCCUCCAUUCAAAACAUAAGAGCAUCUACAACCACGGUUUAUAAAUAUGGGCCCUAAAAUGUCCGCGGACACGUCCGGGCUGUAUACUGGCACUGACUGAUCACCCCUCAAAUAUGUUCAUGCACAUCCAACUCUCUCGUAUUUGAUCUCCUCGAUCCAUUAAAAGCAUGCAAAAGAAAUCCAACAUACUACAUAUUAUCCUAGUCUCCGUCAUCGGAGAUGGCCUCUAGCUAAUCCUUGUCCGCCGCAUCCGCCACAACCCAUGUCGCGUCCAUCUCCUGCCAAUGAAGAUGUCUAGCCUCCGCAGCCGACUCCGAGCGGAUGGAGUUCAGGAUGACCUGCUCCUCCUCCCGCAGACCCACUCCUCCUCCAUCAGCGACGCCUCCUCCUCCGUCGGCGCCUGCUGCUCCUCCCCCACACCUAGCGCCGGCGGCAUCUCCUCCGCAGGCUCCUGCUCCUCCUCCUCUUUAUCCUCCACCAAAUGUUCCUAUGGAUCUAGAGUUAGCUCCGCAGCCCUCCGGAUUCGGACCUACUCGACGAGCCAAUGAGGAUGCUGGAUCGUAUAGUGGCGGCAGCGGCAAACGGGAGGAGGAAAAUGUAGAGGGGUAGGGUUUGGGUGCCGAUACUUGGCAUAAAUAGCUAGGCUAUGAUUACGCGGCCCGCUAGUGUGGCGCCACGCGGCGUUCACACUAUGACGACGGGGGAGGCGUCCAUCGGACCGCCAAAUUUCUGGACGAUUCCGCAUGGGUCCAUGCCGUCAGGCCAACGUGGCAGGCGUAUCCAGACGUCCAUAUCCGCCUCAUAUCUAGACUCGAUAUGACGGAUGUCGGUCGCAUUUGAGGCCGGUUUGAGAGGCCCGGGUGGGUCAAAAUAUCAUGAAGGUCAAUGAUCCAGCAGCUUGCCCGAACGUUUGAGAAGGAUAUGAAGGGUCCAGUUAUAGAUGCUCUAAGGUGGAUAAUAUAAAUGAAGUCAACAUCUAUUUUGGCCACUAACAAUUUAUAAUUACAUGGGUUGACGAACUUGUGGCAAAAACGUGCAUUGUGUACAUAUGUUGACACAAGCAACAUAUGCGCAUCUGAUAUGUUUCUAACUUGAGCUGGUUGUUUUGAUAAAUAAAUGUUUUUGCUCAUUUGAAAUUUUGGUAGAGGCCAAUAGUUUCUCAAAAGGCAGUUUACUUAGAGCAUCUCCAACCGCAGCGUAAAAAAUCCGCGUCCAAUAAAUUUUUUAGCGCGCCACUGUAGCACUUUUGAAGCGCGGGGACCGGAGCAUGUCCAACAGACGCGCGCUAGUGCGGCGCCCAACCCAGUCCGAUCCAGCGGUCCCAUCUGCAGCCGCUCAGAGUUUGCUGCGCGCGAAAGCUGACGCACCAAAUAUGCUGCGCGCGAUAGCGUUUUUGAGCGCGCGCCCAAUUUUUUUUAACGCGCGCAGUGUGCUGGAGCAGUCCGGCGUCCAAAAAACAGAUCUUUUAACGCGCGGAGCAAUUUUUGAGCGCCUGUUGGAGAUGCUCUUAGGCUCGAGAGUAGAUCAAUGCGAGGUGAGAGGAAGAAGAGAAACAAUAUGUAUGAAUUGGAGGAUGAAAAUGAAGCAUUUCAGAUAGGAGAGGGAGAAACCGACUGUCUCUUACAAAUUUUCAUGCAACCGGUGGCUAGCACUCGUUUUUCAAAGCCAUCAUGCUCGACAAGUUUACUUGAAUGAUUGGAAAUACAAUGAUUAAGAUAAGAGGAGAAGAAAUCGACUAUCCCUUACAAAUUUGCAGGCAACGACACCUAGCCGCUCCUUUCUCAAUGCCAUCCAGCCCGACAACUGAUUUGAGAUUGAAGAGUUUGAAGAGUUGAGAUAGGGGAAAUGACUCAACUAACCUUUUCUAAAUUUUCAUGCAACCCGCGGCUAGACACUUCCUUCUCAGAGCCAUCCAGCCCGUCAACUUUAGUUGAAUGAUCUGAUCCCCAAGCAAGCUCUUAUAUAGAUGCCUCAUGAUAAAAAGUAGCUUGAGACAUCUAUUUUUUACUCUAACUUUUUAGCCUUUGUAUUAGACCACACUUCUUUUCCCUCAAGAACCCGCCUCCUGUGGAGGAUUCCCUAAGCCAUCCGAUCGGAUGGCAUAGAAGCGUCAUCCUUUAACGAAAAUAUGGUUGCAUAUCACAAAGAACAUGCAAGUUUGCCUUGCUUUAAGAAAAAUAUGAACAAAAUUGAAGUUCUUUUAUUCUUGUCAAUGUACUCCGAGUAUUUGUUUUGCAAAUUUUAGGCUGUGCUUCGAGUAGCAAAUUAAACAAGCAGUCAUAGAGAAUGAAAGAAAUUUAUAAACUUAGGGGGGAAUCAGCAGGCACACGGAUUGCCCUAAAACCCUUUGCUUUUGCGCACGACGACGAAAAAUGAAGACUCCACUUUCUUUCUUGCCGUCUUGAUCCGCAGCCACACCCAUCCCCCACUACAAGCGCCGCAGCAGAAACCCCAGCCGCCAUGGCAUCCUCCUCCUGGACCUCGGCAUCCUGGUCGCCGGACGCCCUCCUCGACGAACCCACCCACGACAGGGCUCCCCGCGCCAGCGACGCCGACGGAGGCGACGACGACGUCUCGGCCGAGCGGGUCACCUCGCGGCUGCGCAAGCGAGGAGCCCUGAAGAUCCUCUGCAAGAAUUACUCCAUCNNNNNNNNNNNNNNNNNNNNNNNNNNNNNNNNNNNNNNNNNNNNNNNNNNNNNNNNNNNNNNNNNNNNNNNNNNNNNNNNNNNNNNNNNNNNNNNNNNNNGGUCGACGUACACCUACAACCCCAACUACAGCAGUGAGGCGUGCACGGCGUCUCUCCUUCGCCCGGAGACGGCCACGGAGAGCCAUUGCGGCCGGCCGCUCGGUCUGCGGUUCCACCUCAAGUCCGGGUACCUGUACAUUGCCGACGCCUACAAGGGGCUCAUGAGGGUCGCGCCGGGCGGCGGGGAAGCCACUAGCCACCGUGUUGGUCACGGAGAUUGAUGGCGUACCUCUCCGCUUCACCAACGGCGUGGACAUCGACCAAGUCACCGGUGAGGUUUAUUUCACAGACAGCUCCAUGAACUUCAACAGGUCACAACAUGAGAUGGUGACGAGAACCGGAGACUCUUCGGGUCGGCUAAUGAGGUACGACCCACGGACGGGAAAGGCCGUCGUACUCCAGGCAGGCAUCACUUACCCCAAUGGACUUGCCAUCAGCGCUGAUAGGACUCAUCUCAUCAUCUCGUCGACCGGGCCGUGUAAGCUGCUACGAUACUGGAUCAAGGGAUCCAAGGCGGGCACGAUGGAGCUAUUCGCCGACCUUCCUGGCUAUCCAGACAAUGUGAGGCCCGACAAGAAAGGAGGAUAUUGGGUGGCACUACACCGUGAGAAGAAUGAGCUCCCCUUUGGCGUUGAUAGCCAUCUGCUAGCCUUGAGGAUCGACGCUGAAGGGAAAAUAAUCGAGGAGAUGAGGGGGCCCAAGAGCGUGAGGCCGACCGAGGUGGUGGAGAGGAAAGGUGGAAGAUUGUUCAUGGGAUCCGUCGAACUUCGCUAUCUGUCCGUCGUUAUACGCAAAUAGAGAAAUCAAUUAAUAGACAUGUGUAAAUUAAGGAUUCAUCUAGGACAUGCAUCUUUUAAAUUUUUGGGUAUGACUUUGUUUUGACUGGUUUUAUUUGUAAGACUAUUAGUCUAUUAUAUUAAGAAGAGUUUUCUAUUCUACGGUGUUCAUGUAUUUUUCAAUGUAUAUGUAUGGAACAAUUUUUUCUGUAGGGCUAGAUAACACAAGAUGUGUGAGUUUCAAAGACUGAAAAAAGCAUAAAAACUUGAGAAAUCUUGUAAACAUGCAUAAAACAUACUCCCUCGGUCCCACAAUUCUUAUCUUAGAUUUGUCUACAAAUGAAUGUAUCUAAAUACUAAAACGUGACUAGAUACAUUUAUAUCUACACAAAUUUAGGGCAAAUUUUUUGAGACGGAGGGAUUAUGUAGGAGCAGUGGCGAUUCUAUGUGCAGGCUGUGGGGUCAGCUAACCCCACAGGUUUUUUAUUACACCCUAAGAUUUGUCAAUGUUUAUGCAAAAUAUUAGAGCAUACUAGAUAAUUUAGGGUAUAUGAAUCCACAGGUUUUCCGCGCUGUCACUGCCACUGCAUAGGCGCACGGGUUAACACGCACAGAAACGAGACAAUACAAUCUUGCAGAAACAUAACGACUUUGCAAGAGAAAUUAAAUGUUGACAAAUCAAAAAUCAGCUAAGUGACUGUUAGCAACAUAUAUCUAGGUCAUACUACGGCUUAGGUAACCGUUGGUUUUCUUUAUUAUUUCUAACCAUAAUUCUGAAUUAACUCAUUCACAGAUCAAGGAAAGAGUUGGCCUAAGCCUUUGCGUUGUUACUAAAAAUAAAUAAGAUACAAGUAAUUUGAAGCUUAAUAUUCGGCACACACUUCUACCAUGAUCAGAUAGAUCGUCGAAGAGUAAGGCAAAAGAGGUAAUGGCUAAGAGGAAGAUGAGACAACGAUGGAGGACAAUGUAGUGAAUCAUGAGGGAAUAAGAGACGCUCAAUGGACAAACUAGCUUCCCAUCAUAUUGGUUAUUGGCAUUACGUUCUAAAUACACAUGACGGACCCCCAAUGUGUCUAGUAGACCAUCGCCAUGUUUUUAGCAUACAUGUUUGGAUCGUGGUCUUGUGUUAUUUUGGACGAUUAGCCAAUAAUUCGUCUAGAGUUGCUUAGUCAAUAAAUAUACAUCCAACUAUUCAUAUCAUAUCCUUUUCACCUGUUGGAUUACACAUUGAACCAAACCUGGGCUACGGUGCAGUACGUGUUAUGAACCUAGCAGAGGGGUAUUGCAUGUUAAGUGUUAGUACAUGAUUUACAGGCUAUUCCGUCAGCUACACAUAUACUAAUUGUGAUGAUCUUUAAUGAUAAUAUGUUGUAUUCCUAUACAAGAUCGAAGGCAAUGAAAGACAGCAGUUACAUCCUUAUUAUUUUCAGUUUGCUGAUAACGUACAAGACCAAUUGUCCUGCCCCUGUUUUUUAUACAUCUCCGUGCGAACCCUGCAAAGGAUGGUGAUGUUUCGUAGAGCAGCUGUGCUAUAUGUGAUCCUUGACCAUAUGAAGCUUCUGACGCUUCUGAAGCACUUGAAUCGCCCACGCUGACGGCCCAUCGCUUCUUAUCUGAGCUAAUAAUACAGCGUGACAGCGUCGCUGCUUUAUUAACAGCCGCCGGCUGACGCACAUCGUUGUAGCAGCGGUCAAUUACUGAACCCGUCGGACCAAUCGACAGUCCUCAAUCACUGAACCCGUCACCCCACCUUCGCGUCGCCCUGCAGAAAAUGCCAUGGAUUUUUGUUACGGGAGUAAUGACCCAACCGGGUAGCAUGAUUUGCACAGCAACCAAAACCUAGGUGGGGUUCGAAAAACAUCCAACAGACAGAAACACUCACCACUCCCGAUCCGACGGCGGAAAAUGCUGAUGGCAUGAGAGGGCUGGAAAACCGAAAUGUAAUCUAUAUCGAAACAACCAAAGCAUCUUAUAAUUCUGAACCAAGGGAGUAGAAAUCAUUAUCUUCUUCUCACUGAAACAGGGUGCUCCCUUCCAGUGCAAAAUCAACAUUCAACAACUUGUAAGUAGACAUCCAUCCAGUGCCAAGUGGACAUGUAUGACACAAUCCCAGUAAAGUUCAAGUGCAAGACCAAAUAAUCCCAGUAAAGUUCGAAUAUGAAACACAACAACUUCAUGCACAAUCGACCGAGUCACCUUCAGCGAGAUAGAUGCAUGCUCAAGUAUUAUUUGUCGACAGGCACACCCAUGGAUGUCUGCUUUGAAGUUGCAAUAACAUUCCAGAUCGUCAUGUUUAGAGCCUUUCUGACAUACAUUGAACUUCAAAUGCAUCCAACUAUCCAUCUCUACAGCAAUCACAUAUCUUCUUGUUAAGCCACAUGACUCACCGAUGAUACCACAAAAUAGUUCAAUUCCCUCAUGUGACCCACCAGCAAACACAAACGAGCUCAUAGAUAAACUGAAUCCACUCUGCACUUUUGAUAUAAUAACAUCUAUAGUGGCCUCCACUGCAACGGGGAUGAGUGCUAAAGUGAUGUCAACUGCACCGCAAUCGCCAUUAAUGCGGUUAGUGAAUGGAAGGAAAGGUGUUGUUACUUCAGUCUAUUGCACCGUCAAUUAAUUGUAGAUCAUCUUCUUCCUCUCCUUUCCUGAUCCUCAUGUCAAACUCAACUAGAACAGGAGAGGUCAUUGUGAUUCCCCUCUUAGGGCCAGUCGUCUCAAUGAGAGAACCCUGCAAAACUAUUAUUAACUGGUUAGUGGCUCGUAGUAAAAGUAAAGAGUUGCCUAAAGAGUACAUUAUUCUUUCUAGCCAAUUGACAAAGGAUCACAUUUAAGUGACGGCAUAGAUUAUCAACCCACCUACAAACAUAAGUCGGUUGCACAUGAAACUUAUAAUGUUUGAUAAAACAUGCAAAGAUAAUCAUCCAUAAACUAGCCUAAUAUAUGCAAGGGAGAACACCAUCGUCCAAUAACAUCCCCUCCAAGGCACAUGUAUUUCUACGCAAGAGCCCAUAUCAGAUAAGAUAUUCAAACUGGAACCAUCACCACACCUCAAAUGUUUAUACGAGUGAAGAUAACAUUUCACUUAAAGUUACAACCAGGCAAACAAGAUUUUGUAGUUCAAGGCCUAGAUAUUUGUUGUGUUCAAAUCAUUUGUGACAAGGACAAAAUUAUCGAGUUUGACUUUAUUCAAGGAAACAAAAAGAAUAUGAAUGGUCCAAAAUUAUUGCGUUUGACUUUCAUAAAAUACCUAUUAGUCCCUAGUAGACCAUUCAAUUUCACAUUUAUUUAACCGGUAAUAUCUUUUCUGAGUAACUGUCAUUCUACAAUGUUAUUCUCCAUUUGGUAUCAUAGUUACUAGAUCUUUUUACGGCGAUAGUUACUAGAUUUAACCCCAUGGAAGCAAAUAGUCAUCCAUAACACCAAAAUGUAAUUAAGUAGGUAAAUAUUUAUGUAUUACUAAAUGUUUUGGAACCUGGCUUUCGUCAGCUUCAUCAUUUUGCAUUAGAAGAAUGCUCCACUUCCGUGAGCUGCCGGAUUCGGCCUUGCUCAGCGCAUGGAGUUUGCAAGCGCAGAGCCAAAGGAGUUCGGAACCGAACCUAAGUGGUUGUAGCAUGCCAUAAAAAAGGUUCAUAGUUCAAACCAUCUACUCUAUGCAUGUGCUGAAAUUAACCUUAAACUAUGAAAUGAAUGAACUAUUAAAAAUGACUGUAAGAUGUGAAAUAUGUGCACCUGCUGCACCGUAAUGGGAUCGUCCCUGCUACGAUUGACAAUAUAAUUUAGCAAUGAAUCCAGACAAGCUCCCACAGCUAUAUAUCCAUAUAGUUGUACCGAUCUUGAGUUCACAGAAACUUUAGCCAACUUUAAUGAAAAAAAUUGCAUCAUGUUGCGUACAUAAUGCACAUCACAUCUUUCCCGGUCAGGAAAACAAUCAGUGGGAUCCGAUAACAUCAUUGGCUCCAGUUAUGCUUCAUAAGAAUAUAUAGAUAAAUACUUACCAUAAAUAGUGCAAAUAUGAUUUAUAGGUAGACGUUAGAGUUAAGAUAGAAAAAAAAUGUCUAAUCGAAAUUUUCGUAUAAAAAAUAACAACACAACUACACUAAUCAAAUAAGUGAGGCUCAUAAAAGAAUAAUAUAUGGAAAAAGAAAAACUUUGAGGAGCCAAGCUAUAAGAAUGGAUUUAGAAAUAUCCAAGCUACAAGAACACAUGCUAGAAGUUUCAUUUUGUGCAUGACAAAAUGCAAAAAAAAAAACACUUAGUGGCAACUAAUAGAACAUUCAAAAUCUAUCAAUUAUUCGCAAGCACAACUUUAUCAUAUAUCAUUUACAUUUUGGCAUGAACACAUGAGUUUAUGUGAGAUUUAUUUAUCUAUGUGAGUUCUGAAAAAGAGCAACAGUUAUUAAGAAAAAAUAUAAUGGUAGAUGAAAGUUAACAGAAAAUUAUAAAUUUGAUGCAACUACAAAUUUGUUGGAAGUCAAAGAUGCUCCUAAUACCAAUACUAAUUACAUACACAGAUAAACCUAUUAUAUCUAGCAAGCCUUUUUUUUCUUAUGAUAUGACCAAUUAGUGCUCAGACAUAAUUUUGUCAUUAUUAUGCAUCCUUUUUAUGAUUGAGCUAAUCAACUAACAUGGAAAUAAAAGAUGUUGCAAUUCUGACAAAGCAACUUGAGAAGAAACUUGGACCUCUACUCUGGUGGUGACUCCAUAUAAAACCCUCCACUAAAGCAUCACAUGGACAUUAAGUCACUUAUAUGGCACCUUUUUUAGGGGAACAAAACAGGUCUCUAGAUUUUAACCAUGCACCAUCUAUUAUUUAUCAUAAAAUUUCCGACUACUCCCUACAAUCCAAAUUAUUAGUGUUAGAUACACCCGCUUCUAGAUAAAUCUAAGACAAGUAAUACGGAUCCGAGGGAUUAGCUAUUUUGGAUAGAAGAUGGAAUAUCCUACAUAUAGAUCUACUUUGUGCUAACCAAUUUCACUAGAGCAACCAAAAUUUUACAUUGCAUGUUUCAAAACAAGAUCAUGUACAUUCAACCUCAAACUUUUAACCGACGAAUCAUACGACUUGUCAAAUAUCCCAAAUUAAAGGGAGCAAUACAGGAGAGGGAUUCACAUCACUUACUCUCGGCACGGUUAGUAACACCACAUAUCUUUUGGAGAAAGGAGUUUCUGUAUAUAGACUCGUCGCGAUGGGUGCUAUUAUCAAUGAUGAAGGCCGGUCUUACAUUGACCUUCUCGGUUUCCUUCCUCGUUUUCCCUCUAUUCUUCCCUUUGGUCGUCGCAUAUUGCUCGCCGAGGGUGCAGAGAAAAGCAUUGCCACAAGGGAGGCGGCUCGUCCAAUUCGUUUGGCCAUGUACUGCAAUGCUCCUUGCCAUCAAGAAGGAUCCAUAAGCAGAUCUAUCACCGGAGAGCAAACUUAGAAUCCGAGUCAAAAAAGAUGCAUACAUCAAUACAUGCCAUGCAACAUGCAAGAUAGAAAUCCAAAUCACAUCGUUGGUUUAAAUAUAACAAGCAAUGAGACUUGCAAUAAUAAGAUUCCAAAUCCCAAAGUUGGUUUAGAUACAGAGAGCCAAGAAUCUCCGGAAGGAAAAAACGCACCGGCAAACACGGUCCAGACUCCGCCAUGAGCGUAGCAUCUCGUCGCGCGAGUUCAGGAAGGCCCCGACGAGGCAGGGCAGAGGUGAGCCGAGAGAUAGGGGGAGAGAGGGCACCACUUUGGGGAUAAACGAGGCGGCUGUUGGGGCAUAGUUUAUGCCUAAGUAAUUUUGGUGAUUGAUGACAGUACCGUAAAGGACUAACCGUGUGUGUUAAGGUUUCAGAUAACACACGUCAACGACACAAGACGACUCGCCUCCUCAUUCAUGGAACGGAAGCACGGUGCUCUCUACGAUUCUCUUUAUUUGAGUCAUAGGAAAGCCGUACUAUUAAGAGGGGAACCGUAGUGGAANNNNNNNNNNGCACAAGACGACUCGCCUCCUCAUUCAUGGAACGGAAGCACGACGCUCUCUACGAUUCUCUUUAUUUGAGUCAUAGGAAGUAGAAAGGUUUGGGUGGAAUCUAUCUUUGCACGCGCACACUUCACAUAUUUUCCCUUACCUUCAUCUUUGGAGCGGCCUCCGCCACUGUGUUUCUUUCCUCCUUGCAAAAUGGUCCCCAGCGGUAUUACCGCUGGAAUUGCAGCCAGCGGUAGUACCGCUGGCUGGCGGUAGUACCGCCCCUGGUCAGCGGUAGUACCGCUCCAGGAGCUUAGUAUCGCCUGCCUAGCGGUUGUUCGUGGACGGGCCUUUUUGCGAAGACUUUUUUGGCGGUGGUAGUGCUUUUGCACUAUCCGGGGCCCAGCGGUAAUACCGCUCGGUAGUACCGUCCCUGGUCAGCGGUAGUACCGCUGUGGUGCCAGCGGUAGUACCACUGCAGGCAGCGAUAGUACCGCUGGAGCUCAGGCAGAGAGUGGGAAAACAGUUGGAUUUUUCCCCCACUAUAUAAAGGGUUCUUCUAGUUGUGGAACCUCAUCCCUUAUCUCCCCAAGCUCCAUUGUUGCUCCCUAAGCUCAAAAGUGCCCGAUCUCUCUCCCUAGCCAAUCAAACUUGUUGAUUCUUUAGAGAUUGGUUGAGAAGGCCUAGAUUCACACUUUCACCAAGAGAAAAGUUGAUUCCCCCACCAAUCCCUUGCGGAUCUUGUUACUCUUGGGUGUUUCAACAUCCUAGACGGUUGAGGUCACCUUGAAGCCAUAUUCCAUUGUGGUGAAGCUUCGUGGUCUAGUUGGGAGCCUCCAAACUUUGUGUGGAGUUUGCCCCAACCUUGUUUGUAAAGAUUCGGUCGCCGCCUUCAAGGGCACCUAUAGUGGAAUCACGGUACCUUGCAUCGUGCGAGGGCGUGAGGAGAAUACGGUGGCCUUAGUGGCUUAUUGGGGAGCAUUGUGCCUCCACACCGCUCCAACGGAGACGUACUUCCUGUCAAAGGGAAGGAACUUCGGUAACACAUCCUCGUCUCCAUCGAUUCCACUUGUGGUUAUCUCUAACCUUUACUUUGUAUAUGCUUAUAUUGUUGACUAUAUCUUACUUGUCUUAAUAGCUCUCGUUGUUAGCUCCAUUAGGGUUCAGCUCAUUGUCGUAAUAUUUGUGAACCUAUAUGUUGUUUACCUUAGCUUGCUAAGAUUAUUUAAAAAGUGGUCGUUGUCUAUUCACCCCCCCCCCCNNNNNNNNNNNNNNNNNNNNNNNNNNNNNNNNNNNNNNNNNNNNNNNNNNNNNNNNNNNNNNNNNNNNNNNNNNNNNNNNNNNNNNNNNNNNNNNNNNNNUCGCCCCGAGCACGUCGUCGUCGCCGCCGCCCCUGAUCCAGUCCUUCUCGCCGUCGUCGACGCCCCGAGCACGUCGUCAUCGCCGCCCUCGAGCCCGUCUUCGUCGCCCCGAGACCGUCGUCGUCGUCGUCGCCGCCCCGAGCCCGUCGUGUAUUGUGUUGAGUUUUAUUCAUAUAUUGUGUUGAGUUUUAUUCAUAUAUAUGCAUGUAUUGACCCCUUCUUUAAAUUAGAUCUACGAGAUGCGGGAUCAACUCCUACCAUAUGAUCGCAUACGAGCAAUUCAAGAGGAAUUGGCGGGAUUCUUUGUUGACCACGUCAUACCUAAAGACGGAGAAUGUCACGUGGAUUUGUCAUUGGAUCUUAAUUAGAUGAUGUUUUGGAUUAAUUGUAAAAUAUGUUAUAUUGUAUAUAUGUAAUAGCAUCGGAUAGAUAUACGAAAACUUGUUGUUCGACCAAGCAUGGAGAAACAGAGGACACUUUUCUCUAUUAACUAGCUAACAUAAUAUGAAAACACUAAAUUAACGCUCCNNNNNNNNNNNNNNNNNNNNNNNNNNNNNNNNNNNNNNNNNNNNNNNNNNNNNNNNNNNNNNNNNNNNNNNNNNNNNNNNNNNNNNNNNNNNNNNNNNNNAGCGUACGCGGUUGGGCGGCGGCACGGGCGAGGCACACAGCUGGGCGGCGACGCGGGUGAGGCCAGCCACGGGCGUGGGCGUGCCAUGCGGGCAAGCACGACUGGGCAGCGGGGCGACGAGCUGGGUUGGGCGGCCAUGGGAUCCACCUCCUCCUUGUAUUGCAGAUAGAUGGUUGGAUGGAUGUUCAGACUACAUGCCACUAGUUUCCUCUGUUCUUUCCUUUGUUUUUCCUCCCUCUUUGCAUUUUGAUUAGAGCCUCCAAGUAUUUGUAGAUGGAUGUUUCAGCUUCAGGAAACUUCUAUCAAUUGGUCUUUGUAGUUGCUUGUUUCCUUCUAGCAGUCGGUCUUUGUAGUUGCUUGUACUUUAGUUGCGGUUGCUUUCAUCUUGUAUCAUAUAAUCUGCUGUAUAUGCUUGCCUAGUUCGUGACAACCAGGAAUUUGCUAAGGUUAUGUAUGUGUGCAUAGCUCAGAAACCAGACAAGGUGGAUUGCAUGCAUUGUGUGAUUUAUGUUUGCGUAUAUAUACACAUACUUUUACAAGGCAUAAAUCGUAAUAAACUAUGAAGGUUGCCUAUAUUAAUCUUGAAUUGUACCCUUGUCUA